UACAGAGGUCUCAAGCGUUGUUCGGAUUCAUUGGGCGUAAAGGGUGCGUAGGUGGCGCGGUAAGUCGGGUGUGAAAUUUCGGAGCUUAACUCCGAAACUGCAUUCGAUACUGCCGUGCUUGAGGACUGGAGAGGAGACUGGAAUUUACGGUGUAGCGGUGAAAUGCGUAGAUAUCGGGAGGAACACCAGUGGCGAAGGCGGCUUUCUGGCCUGUUCUUGACGCUGAGGCGCGAAA
rnacentral:rRNA from 1 species